UUUUGGAGUACAUUGACUCAUUCUCGUGUUGAUUUUUUACAGAGAUACUGGAACACUCAGUCAAUUAUUUCCAUCCAAUUCUAGAAGGUCAAGGUAUGAUUAUAUUUUGUCGAAUAUUUGCAUAAGAGAAACAAGUAUGUCACUUGGUUCUUUGAUACUCACAAAACCACCAAAAACUCAAGAGCCACUCUUAUUUCAAAAAGCUGCAGCCUGCUUUCCCAUCAAACCUGCAUCUCUC
rnacentral:lncRNA from 1 species